rnacentral:rRNA from 1 species
UACGAAGGGCCCGAGCGUUAAUCGGAUUCACUGGGCUUAAAGAGUGCGUAGGCGGAUACGUAAGUGUCGGGUGAAAUUCCAUGGCUUAACCAUGGAACGGCAAGGCAUACUGCGUAUCUUGAGGUCGGUAGGGGUUGCCGGAACUCUAGGUGUAGCGGUGAAAUGCGUAGAUAUCUAGGGGAACGCCAAUGGUGAAGACAGGCAACUGGGCCGAUUCUGACGCUGAGGCACGAAAGCGUGGGGAGCAAACAGG